CCGAGUCCUUUUACUGACGCUAAAGCUCGAAAAGUGCGGGGUAUCGAACAGGAUUAGAUACCCCUGGUAGUCCGCACGGGUAAACGAUGGAUGCCCGCUGUUCGCGAUACACUGCGAGUGGCCAAGAGAAAUCGUUAAGCAUCCCACCUGGGGAGUACGCCGGCAACGGUGAAACUCAAAGGAAUUGACGGGGGCCCGCACAAGCGGAGGAACAUGUGGUUUAAUUCGAUGAUACGCGAGGAACCUUACCCGGGCUUGAACUGCAGAGGAAGGAUCUAGAGAUAGUGACGCCCUUCGGGGCCUCUGUGGAGGUGCUGCAUGGUUGUCGUCAGCUCGUGCCGUGAGGUGUCGGCUUAAGUGCCAUAACGAGCGCAACCCCUUUCGCCAGUUGCCAUCAGGUCAAGCUGGGCACUCUGGCGACACUGCCACCGUAAGGUGUGAGGAAGGUGGGGAUGACGUCAAAUCAGCACGGCCCGACGUCCGUGUGUACACACGCGUUACAAUGGGUGGUACAGAGAGUUGAGUACCGGCAACGUCGCUCCAAUCCACAAAGCCAUCCUCAGUCGGAUUGGCUCUGCAACCCGACCCCACAAGCGGAAU
rnacentral:rRNA from 1 species